rnacentral:piRNA from 1 species
UGCCUCAACAUGUAAGGCUCUUCUCAACUG